rnacentral:rRNA from 1 species
GGAGGGUGCGAGCGUUGUUCGGAAUUACUGGGCGUAAAGCGCGUGUAGGCGGCCUUGCAAGUCAGGCGUGAAAGCCCUCGGCUUAACCGGGGAAGUGCGUCUGAAACUGCUUGGCUUGAGUACGGGAGAGGGAGGCGGAAUUCCCAGUGUAGAGGUGAAAUUCGUAGAUAUUGGGAGGAACACCGGUGGCGAAAGCGGCCUCCUGGACCGAUACUGACGCUGAGACGCGAAAGCGUGGGGAGCAAACAGGACUAGAUACCCUGGUAGUCCACGCGGUAAACGAUGGGCACUAGGUGUGGGGGGUAUCCACUCCUCCCGUGCCGAAGCUAACGCAUUAAGUGCCCCGCCUGGGGAGUACGGCCGCAAGGUUA